AGUGAACGCUGGCGGUAGGCCUAACACAUGCAAGUCGAACGGCAGCACAGGAGAGCUUGCUCUCUGGGUGGCGAGUGGCGGACGGGUGAGGAAUACAUCGGAAUCUACUCUGUCGUGGGGGAUAACGGAGGGAAACUUACGCUAAUACCGCAUAAGACCUACGGAUGAAAGCAGGGGAUCUUCGGACCUUGCGCGUUUGAAUGCGCCGAUGUCGGAUUAGCUAGGUGGCGGGGUAAAGGCCCACCAAGGCGACGAUCCGUAGCUGGUCUGAGGGGAUGAUCAGCCACACUGGACCUGAGACACGGUCCAGACUCCUACGGGAGGCAGCAGUGGGGAAUAUUGGACAAUGGGCGCAAGCCUGAUCCAGCCAUACCGCGUGGGUGAAGAAGGCCUUCGGGUUGUAAAGCCCUUUUGUUGGGAAAGAAAUCCAGCCGGCUAAUACCUGGUUGGGAUGACGGUACCCAAAGAAUAAGCACCGGCUAACUUCGUGCCAGCCGCCGCAGUAAAAC
rnacentral:rRNA from 1 species